AACGAACGCUGGCGGCAUGCCCAACACAUGCAAGUCGAACGAGAUCUUCGGGUCUAGUGGCGCACGGGUGCGUAACGCGUGGGAAUCUGCCCUUUGGUUCGGAAUAACAGUUGGAAACGACUGCUAAUACCGGAUGAUGACGAAAGUCCAAAGAUUUAUCGCCAGAGGAUGGGCCCGCGUAGGAUUAGCUAGUCGGUGUGGUAAAGGCGCACCAAGGCGACGAUCCUUAGCUGGUCUGAGAGGAUGAUCAGCCACACUGGGACUGAGACACGGCCCAGACUCCUACGGAAGGUAGCAGUGGGGAAUAUUGGACAAUGGGCGAAAGACUGGUCCAGCAAUGGCGCGUGAGUGAUGAAGGCCUUAGGGUUGUAAAGCUCUUUUACCCGGGAUGAUAAUGACAGUACCGGGAGAAUAAGCUCCGGCUAACUCCGUGCCAGCCGCCGCGGUAA
rnacentral:rRNA from 1 species